CCCUUAGAUGUUCUGGGCCGCACACGCGCUACACUGAAGGAGGCAGCGUGUACUCCUGGAUCGAAAGAUUUGGGUAACCCGCGAAUCUCCUUCGUGCUAGGGAUUGAGGUUUGCAAUUAUCCUUCAUGAACGAGGAAUUCCCAGUAAGUGCAAAUCAUAAGCUUGCGCUGACUACGUCCCUGCCCUUUGUACACACCGCCCGUCGCUACUACCGAUUGAAUGAUUUAGUGAGGACUUCGGACUGGGACCGAUGCGGCUUUCGGGCUGCGUCGGUAUUCUGGAAAGAUGUCCAAACUGUAUCAUUUAGAGGAAGUAAAAGUCGUAACA
rnacentral:rRNA from 1 species